UUCAAUUACAAUUUUUUAUACGAAAAUGAAUUUAACCUAGAUCAGGUCACAAAUACAUAAAAUUGAAUAGAUUCACAUUUUUAGUGUGUUAAAAGUUACUAAUUUAUCGAAACCAGAUAUUUUGAAAUAAUUUUAAUAUAUUAUUACUUAUGAGCUAUGACACUAGAAAUCUUAUGAAAACAGUGGGAUACAGAAGACUAGACAAGGGGGAGAGUUUUAGGUGUUCAACCACUCUUUCUAUUGGUACGUAUUUUUGUUAUUUUGUUAUUCAGUUACUUUGCCAGACACAGUUCUUUUGUAAUGUUUUCUUUUAAAUUUUGCGGUCAAGUAUAUUGAAAAGUGAAAGGCAACUAGAGCCGAUAGGCGUAGGGAGGUACUAUAGUAAUAUAGUCACGACUCACUAUACUUUUUACACCUUAACUGCCAAGAUUACAAGAAGUCUUUAGGACCUCAAUGUUUAUAGCAUGAAGACAAUUAAAAUCAUGAAUGAUGCAAUUGGCCCUUUGAGAACCACAUGAUCACACUAACACCAGGAAGUUGGUAGGAGAUGUGCAGCACUGACAAAAAUCGAUCAGCCGACUGAUUAUUCUCUUUUGAGAAUCUUAUAUUUAAUAAAAUGUGCUGUUUCAAUCUUCUGGAUAAGACAAUUUGUAUAAGUGAUUUCAAUAAUCAAGAACUAUUGGAACUCAAAAUAUAAAAUAAUUAAAACUAUCAAAACUCAUGUUCAUAUUUGUUAACGGGAAAUAACAAUGUAUUUUUAUUUAUAGGUUAAAUAUAUACCAUUAUAUACAAACAAGGUAGUAGUAUCAAUUUGCAAUAUUUUCUUCUAACAAUGUUUUGAAUAUUAUAUUACAAAUAAAAAAAAAAACAGCAAUAUUAUUCAUAUGAUAGUUUGAGACUUGUGUUUUUUUUUUUAGAAAAAACACUACAUUACAAAAACUUUUGGAUUUAAAAAAUCGAUGAUAAGUACUUAACUGUCAUAAACUCAUAACAAAACAAAACUAAAAACAGUGUUUAUUUUUCUAAACAUUGAGUUUUUCUUUAUUAUUCAUUAUUAUUUAAUAUGCAAUAAUAAUAACUAAUAGAAAUAAAUUUAAAAUACAUACAUUAUGCACUUGUUACAUUAAAAAAAAAUUCUAUAAUACAAUCAAAUUAUAACAGUGAACCUUAAUGCAGAGAUCACAGCCAAAGAACAAAUUUUUUUUCUUCUUUUCUUUCUUAUUUUUAUUUAUUUAUAAUUUUAACUGGAGGGGGGAGGUUCAUAUACAAUGCAAUUUUAAGGCGAGUCUAAAAUCUUAAAACAAUAUUCACACAAAAAUAAUAAAAAAUAAAAAUCAUAAAAAAAAA